UACGGAGGGGGCCAGCGUUGUUCGGAAUUACUGGGCGUAAAGGGCGCGUAGGCUGCUGCGCAAGUCGAACGUGAAAUCCCUCGGCUUAACCGAGGAAUUGCGUCCGAAACUGCGUAGCUCGAGUCCCGGAGAGGGUAGCGGAAUUCCCAGUGUAGCGGUGAAAUGCGUAGAUAUUGGGAGGAACACCAGUGGCGAAGGCGGCUACCUGGACGGGUACUGACGCUGAGGCGCGAAAGCUAGGGGAGCAAACAGG
rnacentral:rRNA from 1 species